UACAGAGGCCCCGAGCGUUACCCGGAAUCACUGGGCGUAAAGCGUGUGUAGGUGGUCAUAUUAGUCGUCCGUUAAAACCCGGGGCCCAACCCCGGAAGUGCGGGCGAAACGGUAUGACUCGAGGGUGUGAGAGGUGCAUAGAACUCUAGGUGUAGGGGUGAAAUCCGUUGAUAUCUAGGGGAAUACCGAAAGCGAAGGCAGUGCACUGGCGCAUUCCUGACACUCAAACACGAAAGCGUGGGUAGCGAACGGG
rnacentral:rRNA from 1 species